AGUGAACGCUGGCGGCGUGCUUAACACAUGCAAGUCGAACGAGAACGGGUUAUAGCUUGCUAUAACUGUCAGCUAAGUGGCGCACGGGUGAGUAAUGUAUAGGUAAUAUGCCUCUUACUAAGGGAUAACAAAUGGAAACGUUUGCUAAUACCUUAUACUCCUUAUUAACAGAAGUUAAUAAGGGAAAGAUUUAUUGGUAAGAGAUUAGCCUGUAUUGUAUCAGUUAGUUGGUGGGGUAAUGGCUUACCAAGACUAUGACACAUAACUGGUUUGAGAGGAUGAUCAGUCACACUGGAACUGAGACACGGUCCAGGCUCCUACGGGAGGCAGCAGUGGGGAAUAUUGCACAAUGGACGAAAGUCUGAUGCAGCAACGCCGCGUGGAGGAUGACACAUUUCGGUGCGUAAACUCCUUUUAUAUGAGAAGAUAAUGACGGUAUUAUAUGAAUAAGCACCGGCUAACUCCGUGCCAGCCGCCGCAGUAA
rnacentral:rRNA from 1 species